UACAGAGGGUGCAAGCGUUAAUCGGAGUUACUGGGCGUAAAGGGCGCGUAGGCGGUUUAAUAAGAUUGAUGUGAAAUCCCUGGGCUUAACCUAGGAACUGCAUCGAUGACUGUUAAGCUAGAGUAUUGUAGAGGGUAGUGGAAUUUCCGGUGUAGCGGUGAAAUGCGUAGAGAUCGGAAGGAACACCAGUGGCGAAGGCGGCUACCUGGACAAAUACUGACGCUGAGGCGCGAAGGUCAGGGGAGCAAACGGGAUUAAGAAACCC
rnacentral:rRNA from 1 species